UUCAAAAUGUCUGUGCUUCUUCAGAGCUAAGCUAGUUUUCCAAAUUGAAAUUAGUACAAUUAAACAAAAUCCUCAGUACUGAACAAAAACUUUAAUCUACUACAGGGUUACCGAAAAAGCUUGCUUAGGUUGGCUACGCUAAUGAGUAAUGCUGCGUUCGAUUGUAUUCGGAAAGAUCCGGGUCGGAAAUUCCGACUUCCGAGGUAAAUGCAUUUCAUUGCGCAAGCUCGGAAAACAUGGCCGGCCAGGUGGUGUUUGUCUGGGUGCUUUUCAAGCAUCAAAAAUUACUGCUGGGGAAGUAUAUGAGCUACUUGAGGGAGAGAGAGAAAGUGAAAUGUCAUAUGCUGUAUGCUUUGCUGCUGUCACAACCAUCCAUCAGAAAGUCUAUUUUAAAGACGGGUACAGAAUGGGAAAUACUUAUGCAGAUGGAUGAGCAUACAUUUCACCGGCAUCUUCGGGUGACCUGGGCGCAAUUUGAUUUUCUGCUGCUGAAGCUCAACCAGUACAUCCAGACCCUUCAUGUUGGAGGCCGACCAGAGGUUCCCCUUCACCAGCUUGCCAUGUUUCUUUGGUAACUUUUCAUCAUGGCCUCAAAGGACUACUGGGAAGCUUUCAUGUGGUUGAGCAUCUCCUCGUGUCUGCGCUGGGAUGCAGCCUCAGAUUCACAAAGAAAUCCCAAGAGGCUACUUUCCUCUUGGCAACGGGGACAACAUGGAGUUGGGCCCAAGGAAAGACUGGCUGACCCCGAGGAAAGACUGGCAGAAGGCUGCUGUCGGUCAGUGAGAAGUGCAUCGGGUCUCCUCAUUUCCAAGCCAUCAGAAGUUCUCACCACUGGAAACUCAAUAUCAUGGUGCCCUCCCAGAAGUUGCUCCAUCUCGUUGUAAAAUUGAAAGCGCAGUGCACCCUUGCCUGUGGUGCGUUAUCUUUAAUUUUCUUGUACACUUCCUCAAGCGUUCCCCAUUUCCGGGCCACUCUGUCUGGGUCAAAAACCACUUUAAAGUGGUUUGUCAGCUUGGCAGCCAUCUCCUUCCACAUGAGUUUUUUUGAUCCCUUGCCCGCCUUCACCCUGGCAUUCAAUUCUCUCAAUGUUUUGGGCAGCUCACCUCCAUCUUCUUCUAGCUUGUUCCUCAUCAAAUCGAUGAGGAACAAAGUCUGGUCUUUAGUGAAGCAUUCAUUGUGAGGUGGUGCGUUUGUGGCAGGCAUCUCCUCUUCCUCUUCCAUGGGUUCGGCUCCCUCUUUGUCAUCAGCUUCCAGCCCUAAACAUGUAACAUCUGGUCAGAUGAAGGUGAUGGCACUGAUAUAGUUCAAUUAAACUUCUUAACUGCCUUUGUUAUAAAUAUGUGUGUUGAAACAUAAUAAUGCUAUAAUAGAGCUGCAACAAUUAAUCACUUAAUCGAUGACUAAGACUAAUCGAUUAUUAAAUUAAUCGCCAACUAUUUUGAUAAUUGAUUAUUCGGUUUGGGUCAUUUUUGAGAAAAAAAU